rnacentral:rRNA from 1 species
GACGAACGCUGGCGGCGUGCUUAACACAUGCAAGUCGAACGGAAAGGCCCUGCUUUUGUGGGGUGCUCGAGUGGCGAACGGGUGAGUAACACGUGAGUAACCUGCCCUUGACUUUGGGAUAACUUCAGGAAACUGGGGCUAAUACCGGAUAGGAGCUCCUGCUGCAUGGUGGGGGUUGGAAAGUUUCGGCGGUUGGGGAUGGACUCGCGGCUUAUCAGCUUGUUGGUGGGGUAGUGGCUUACCAAGGCUUUGACGGGUAGCCGGCCUGAGAGGGUGACCGGCCACAUUGGGACUAAGAUACGGCCCAGACUCCUACGGGAGGCAGCAGUGGGGAAUAUUGCACAAUGGGCGGAAGCCUGAUGCAGCAACGCCGCGUGCGGGAUGACGGCCUUCGGGUUGUAACCCGCUUUCGCCUGUGACGAAGCGUGAGUGACGGUAAUGGGUAAAGAAGCACCGGCUAACUACGUG